GCUGGAGUGGUGGAAUUGGUAUACACGCAUGCCUUAGGAGCAUGUGCCCAAAAGGCGUAGGAGUUCGAGUCUCCUCUCCAGCAC
rnacentral:tRNA from 1 species